AACCCAUGAUGAUGACAUCUUCUAAAUAAAUUUCUUAAAUCUCUCCAAUGCAUCAUAUAAUGUCACCAAAUUGAUUUGAGCAAAAGAAGAGAUAUCAUUCCUCAACUU
rnacentral:snoRNA from 1 species